CGUGGCCGCCGUCUUUUUCAUCCAGCAACGGUUUUUUGGUCAAUUUCGGUGUCAAUUCUCUGUUAUAAUUGAAUUAAUCGAUUGCAUUUGAUUUUUAUGGUUCGCGUGUGUGUUUACCACUAUUUGGGAUAUACGUAGGGCGCAUCUGGAGAUCAGUGGCGUUAUUCGGGGAACCGAAGAUAAGCCUAGCCAAGCGCCAUGAUGGCCGCCUGCAGAACACGUCGCAUAUGGAGAUCGACAACAUCGUUCGGGGAGCCGAAGAUAAGCCAAGCUAAGCGCCAUCAUUACGGUCGUCAAGAUACGUGACGGAAUCUACCACACAAAUAUGCGCUGUCCUGACUGUCACUUUGAUAAUUUUUCUCAUCUCGGCAAUUUAUGAACCGCAUUCAAUGAAAUUCAAACUGGGCCCGAGAUCGUACUAAUUGGACACCCUGUAUAUGCAUCACCUGUUACUGAUGGUGGAGUAUAAACUGGCUAACAGAAUACUGAUCUACCACACAAAUAUGCGCUGCUUCACACGAGGACUUUGAUAAUUUUUCUCAUCUCGGCAGUUUAUGAACCGCAUUGAAUGAAAUUCAAACUGGAUCCGAGACCGUAGUAAUUGGACACCCUGUAUAUGAAUCACACUGUUGCGAGAGGUCAUCCGAUAUCGUAGAUACUAAUUGGACACCCUGUAUAUGAUCGUGAGGUGGAUAUAGAUGAGCGACGAGGGAGUGAGGCUGUGCAUGGUUUCGUCUCUACUUCGAUAAUUGGUUCACUCCUGGCAAGUCCGAAACAAUAAGGCUAUGGAUUCCAGAAGGGCAGCCUUAUAAAGGUAGGAUUUUUCCUUUUCUGCAUGGACUAAUUGCUUUUCUAUUAUGUGGGUCUAGCAGUGGGGGACGGGGGGAGGGAAUAGUGCGUAUCAACGACAGUUGAUCUUCCGAUUGUGUAAUUGUGAGUUGUGAUCUGGCAUUUUGGUGACGUAAAUUUGACUUUUCACAACGAUCUUUUUCGGGGCAUCAAUCCGUUUACUUCAUAUUCAAGUAUGACUAUGAUUUCAUAGCCAUGCCGGUUUUAUGCAGUAAACGGAUUUGCUUUGCGAAUCGGAUUAUGAAAAAUUAUUGGAGUCAAGUUUCCCGUUUCCAAUUCUGCUGGCUUUUACAUCUCACUUUAUUACAUUGAAGAUCCUCUGAAUGACUGAAGGUGAGUAAUUAAGUCAUUAUGUACAUGUUCGUUUAUUAGUUAGUAACAAUCAUUGGCGUUUUUGAGAUGAAAGAUAAAUUUACAUUAUAAUUAGAGAGAGACGAAAGAUGAUUUGUACUGUACUAAACGGACACGCUGUACACAAUUAGUUCUAAGAAGCGUGGUUGGUCUACUAAUCUCGUCCAUUGUUCACAGCGCUACUGAUGAGGAUUGGUCCAACAACUGCAAUUGAUCUGAUCGAUUCUAAGGGCGCUACAGAGCGGUUUGCCUGUGACCCCGGAACGUAAACAAACCGCGCGUAUUUCGUCCCUUUUGCGGUUAGUAGUGCAUCCUUGGAGAGACCGUAUUAAUAAGGCUAAGGAUUCGAGAAGGGCAGCCUUAUAAAGGUAGGAUUUUUCUUUUUUUGUGCAUGCUCUAUUGCAUCUGUAUUAUGUAUAUGUAACAGUGGGGGAAAGUGAAUAGUGUUCAGUGACUAAAUGAAGAUCAUCGUUUAAACAUUUCUUCGAAUGUGGUACUAAAUGAGUUGUGUCCAUAUUCUCAGCAUCUUGGUGAUGUGAAUUGAUCGCAAUUAUUCUUGGAGUAACUUUACAUAAAAGAAAAAGAACUAUUGCGGUCUGUUCUUGCGCACCCUAGGUGCUUUGAAGAUGGCCAUAACUCAUUUAUUAGACCAAAGGCUGGUUUUUCACAUGUCAGUUGAACUUUUCCAACAGUUGAUUCCCAUGUAAAAAAAGGAGUUAUAUUGGAUCAGUUUAACUGAAACAUGUAAAACCGGCUAUGAGAUCAAGAAGGUAAGUGAGUUGAGACAUGACAAGCUUAUUCGGUUUUUUUCUCAUCUUAAUUUUACGCGGAUAAAGAGUACAUUUUCAAUUAAUGCGCGACUAAGACUUAAGUGUCUCUUUGACGGAACAUGUUCAGGUUAAUUUAUUAAUCUUACUUUCUCCAAUUGUUCGCAGUGCCAGUGGCGGACCUACUGCAAAACGGAACGCGAACCUGGAUCUACACUCGUGAGGAUUUUCUCGACAACGCCAGUGAUGGAUCGCAUCCAAGUUCCCUUCAAUCGUAUUGAUUAAUCGCAUGGGCACAGUUCAAACAAACGAGUUCCUGAGUACAUCUACACUCGUGAGGAUUUUCUCUACAACUUCAGAUGAUGGAUCGAUAAUCAGUUCCUCAAAUUCUCUUCGAUCUUGUUGAUCUGGGCAUAGCUUAAAUAAACGAG